CGGUAGUGCGUCUGACUCCAGAUCAGAAGGUUCAAAGCACAUCGGGGUCAUUCAAUGUGCUCUUUUUCACACAGACCCAUGAUUUUCUGCGCAGUCUAAUAAGGAUGCUGUUAUAUGGACUCCAAUCUCUAUGAUGACCACCCAUGUCUUUGUCAACUUCAUGCUAAAAGACCCAUGAUUUUCUGCGCAGUCUAAUAAGGAUGCUGUUAUAUGGACUCCAAUCUCUAUGAUGACCACCCAUGUCUUUGUCAACUUCAUGCUAAAAGUGCCCAAAGCCCGUGGUGGUGGCAGUGCAUGGCGUUUGUGUGGAAGCAGGAGUGGAUCUAAUCACAGCCUGUGAUAUUCGUCUGUGCACACAGGAUGCCUGGUUUCAGGUGAAGUCGUGUGUUCCCUGAUAGUCCAUGAUUGCUGGAGCUCUGGAAAUAGCAGGUGAGAUUUCAGGCCGGAGUCGCGUCGCUGUCCAAGGAACCAAAAUCAACCUCCUCUACUCCUGAGACCACAGUGUGACUGAGAGCCUAGACUACAUG
ensembl:lncRNA